UAUUAUACUAGUAAGUAUUAAUAUCCUAGAUUAUUAUUAGGUAUAGUCUUUAAAUUCAAAGAAUUUGGCGGUAAUUUAGUCUUGUUAGAGGAACCUGUUUUUGAAUCGAUAAUCCACGAAAAAUUUUACUUGUUUUAUAUAGUUUAUAUACCGUCAUUAUCAGAUAAUUUUGAAAAAACUAAUUAUUAAAAUUUAAAUUAAAAUAAAUUAAAUUAGAUCAAGGUGUAGCCUAUAAAUAAGUUAAAAUGGGUUACAAUAAAAUAUAUUUAUGAUGGAAUAGUUGUAUGAAAUUAAAUUAUGAAGGGGGAUUUAAUUGUAAUUUUAGUUUAAUAAGUUAAAAAGAUAUAAGCUCUAAAUUAU
rnacentral:rRNA from 1 species